AGCGAAGCACGGGCCCGACCGGGCCAUGUCGGGGGAGCCUGAGCUCAUUGAGCUGCGGGAGCUGGCACCCGCUGGGCGCGCUGGGCAGGGCCGCACCCGGCUGGAGCGUGCCAACGCGCUGCGCAUCGCGCGGGGCACCGCGUGCAACCCCACACGGCAGCUGGUCCCUGGCCGUGGCCACCGCUUCCAGCCCGCGGGGCCCGCCACGCACACGUGGUGCGACCUCUGUGGCGACUUCAUCUGGGGCGUCGUGCGCAAAGGCCUGCAGUGCGCGCAUUGCAAGUUCACCUGCCACUACCGCUGCCGCGCGCUCGUCUGCCUGGACUGUUGCGGGCCCCGGGACCUGGGCUGGGAACCCGCGGUGGAGCGGGACACGAACGUGGUGGGGUCUGUGAGUGGAGCUGCCGGAGCGAUGAGGUCAUUCCUGGGGGCGAAGCGUGCGUGUCCCCGCCCCGGCGUUCCUGCCCCAAUGAGACAAGAGCUAGAUCCCGGCGAUCUACGUUUCAGUCUUAACGGUUGCGGCGCGGCUCUGGCCCGGGCGCACGCGCACACUGACACGCGUACACGCACGCACGCGACCGGGGCGGUGGUUGGCGGCUACGGACGCGCGGGACUGGGGGACGGGCGGGUACGGCUAUGGGCGAGGCGGAGGCGCCUUCUUUCGAAAUGACCUGGAGCAGCACGACGAGCAGUGGCUACUGCAGCCAAGAGGACUCGGACUCGGAGCUCGAGCAGUACUUCACCGCGCGAACCUCGCUAGCGCGCAGGCCGCGCCGGGACCAGGUGGGAGCCAGGGGGUGCCGGCGGGCGGGAGGGGAGGCGGUCGCUGGAGCUCCGCCCUCCCCGGUCCGUUGCCGCGUCCUGGGUCGGUGGGCAGCCCCACCCUCCUGGCUACGUGGCUCCCCGCGGGUCCUGGCCGGGGACCUGCCCGCGGAACCGUGCGUAAGACCCCGAUUCCACCGCCUAGAUGCAGGGUGCCGGGGCCCCCUUGGUUUCUGUCACAGACAGGUUGAACACGGAAAAAGCAGCUGUGUGGCUUGUGGUAGACCUGAGCCGGGCAUUAUCCAGCUAUGACUAAAGCCGACCGAGCAGUCUGGACUAGCACCUCGAUUUCCGCGUUCGAAUGCUCCUGCUCCCUCCUUGGGGAGACUAGGGGAGGAUGUGGAGAGGGAAGAGUCCUCGCCAGGAAUUGAGAAGUAUGUUUAGGAAAACUUGAGAGGCAGAGAGAGAUCCUGCUCCUCCAUCUGCACUCCUGUAUGGAGCCAGCUGAGCCCUCACCUCUUCCCUGUUCUGGCCUGUCACCAGCUGCUGGAAUGUGGAAGAUUCUGAUCCCUUCCUCUAGGGUGGAUCUGGAGAAAGAUUUGGGAAUAGAUAGGAAAGAAGUCU
rnacentral:sRNA from 1 species